rnacentral:rRNA from 1 species
AUUGAACGCUAGCGGGAUGCUUUACACAUGCAAGUCGAACGAGUGGCGGACGGGUUAGUAAUAUCUCUGAACUUGCCCAGUCGCGGGGGAUAACUACUCGUAAGAGUAGCCAAUACCGCAUAACAUAGGAUCGGCCGAUAUCGGAUUAGCUAGUUGGUGGGUUAAAGGCUCACCAAGGCAACGAUCCGUAGCUGGUUUGAGAGGACGACCAGCCACACUGGGACUGAGACACGGCCCAGACUCCGACGGGAGGCAGCAGUGGGGAAUUUUGGACAAUGGGGGAAACCCUGAUCCAGCCAUCCCGCGUGUAUGAGAAGGCCUUCGGGUUGUAAAGUACUUUUGGCAGAGAAGCGGUAUCUGCAGAAUAAGCACCGGCUAACUACGUGCCAGCAGCCGCGGUAAUAC